rnacentral:rRNA from 1 species
CAGGGAGGUAGUGACAAGAAAUAACAAUACGGGGCUUAAUGUCUUGUAAUUGGAAUGAUGGGAAUUUAAACCUCUUCCAGAGUAUCAAUUGGAGGGCAAGUCUGGUGCCAGCAGCCGCGGUAAUUCCAGCUCCAAUAGCGUAUAUUAAAAUUGUUGCAGUUAAAAAGCUCGUAGUUGAAUUUCUGCUGCAUUACAUAUCUCUUGUUUGAGUUUGUUUUUGUGGCUUAUUUCGGUUUGAUUUUUACUUUCCGGAUGAUUACUUUGAGAAAAUUAGAGUGCUCUAAGCAGGCUUUUGCCUUGAUUAGUUUAGCAUGGAAUAAUAAAGUAGGACUUUGGUUCUAUUUUGUUGGUUUUAGGUACCAAAGUAAUGGUUAAUAGGAACAGUUGGGGGCAUUCGUAUUUAACUGUCAGAG